rnacentral:ncRNA from 18 species
AGGCAUGAAAGCGCGAAGAAGUACAGACUGUAUCUGGUCGCUUGGUCUGUAUGGAGCCAGUAGCGAAUCCGCCUUUUCCCU